UCCAAGUUUCUAACCCUUCCCUCCUCUCAGCCCUCACACCCCACCUAUGACGGCCACGACCUACGGUGUCGGACAGUGAUACACAGCGAUUGGUGGUGAUUCAUGGUGACUAGAGAUGGCAAUGAACUUCAUCUACGGCGGCCAGUGUUGAUUUUACAGCAGGUCCAGCAGUAAUAGAUUCGGCAACCGACUUGCAGCGGCGGCCGACAAUUUUGCAGCAGAAUUUUGUGGAUACUGGUUAUACAAUUGGUGCAUUUAUGACGUUGUUCGCUAUGUUCGCUUUCUCUUUUACAUCUGCCACAAGAUGAUGGAAAAAUUGAAUAAGCGAUUCUUGUGGCAUCUUGUAGUUCGUGGUGCACUGUAUGUAUUGUAGAUGUUUCUGCAUUAAUGAUAAUGAGUAUGCAGAUUGGCCACCUCCCCCCCAUAUUUCAGGUCUUCAUGAUUCUGAAUAUGGUAGUUUACUGCUGUGUAACAUUCUAUGCUCCAAUAUCAAUAAUUUUUCUUUUUAUGUUA